GCAAACCCCACUUGGAGCAAGGCCUAAUAGAGGAGAUUUAAGGAUUGCUCGUCCGCUCUCCCGGGUUGGCCGCUGGAGGUGCAUGGUAACAUGCAUCCUAGAUAGAUGAUUGCUGCGUUGCAAGACGUACAGAACCCGGCUUAUAGACCUGCUUGGCAU
rnacentral:RNase_P_RNA from 1 species